UACAGGGGGGGGCAAGCGUUGUUCGGAAUUACUGGGCGUAAAGGGCCAGUAGGCGGCCAACUAAGUCACACGUGAAAUCCCCCAGGCUUAACCUGGGAACUGCGUGUGAUACUGGAUGGCUUGAAUUCGGGAGAGGGAUGCAGAAUUCCAGGUGUAGCGGUGAAAUGCGUAGAUAUCUGGAGGAAUACCGGUGGCGAAGGCGGCAUCCUGGACCGACAUUGACGCUGAACGGCGAAAAGCUAGGGGAGCAAACGGG
rnacentral:rRNA from 1 species